rnacentral:rRNA from 1 species
AACUAUCCCUAUUAAUCAUUACGGCGACUCUAGAAACCAACAAAAUAGAACCGCACGUCCUAUUCUAUUAUUCCAUGCUAAUGUAUUCAGGCAUAGGCCUGCUUUGAACACUCUAAUUUUCUCAAGGUAAAAGUCCUGGUUCCCCGACGCACACCAAUAAAGGGCACGCCGGCUCACCAAGAGGUAAGACCCAGUCAGACAGUACACGCCGUUAAGCGGACCGCCCAACCAGGCCCGAAAUUCAACUACGA